rnacentral:rRNA from 1 species
CGCGCCAGCUCCAGUCCGCGCGAGCUAUAUAUGCGCUCCGCGCUCAGCUGUGCAGCUCCACCGCCGUAUCGUGUGACUGAGACUGAGAGCAGCACCCAGGUCGACGCCGUCCUCGCCUAGCCGGCAGCUUCUUACAGCGACGCGGUGGGUGGUGAGAGCGAUGGACCCGUACAAGUACCUCAACAUCCGCUUCAACCCGGACGGCUCGCUCACCCGCAACGGCCAGGCCAAGCUCCUCCCGGCGGCGCCCUCGGGGGAGCCCGUCGCGGUCACCACCGCCGACGGCGGCCCCGCGCGCCGCAUUGUCCACUCCAACGACGUCCCGCUCGACGACGCCAAGGGUACGAGCGUGCGCCUCUUCGUGCCGGGCAUGGCCGCGGCGCCCCGCAGCGGCAGGCUGCCGCUGAUCGUCUACUUCCACGGGGGCGGGUACGUGCUCUUCCGUGCGGCCUCCGAGCCGUUCCACAACAACGCCGCGGUACUGGCCGCCACCGUGCCCGCCGCCGUCGCCUCCGUUGACUACCGCCUCGCGCCCGAGCACCGCCUGCCCGCCGCCUUCGACGACGCCGCCGACGCGGUCAGGUGGGUGCGUUCGUACGCUGCCGAGUCGCCGGGAAGGCCGAUCUUCAUAAUGGGCUGCCACAACGGGGCCAGCAUCGCGUUCCGCGCGGCGCUGGCGGCGGUGGACGAGGGCGUGGAGCUGCGGGGGUUGAUACUGAACCAGGCGCACCACAGCGGCGUGGAGAGGACGUCGGCGGAGGCGGCGUCGGUGGACGACCGCGUCCUGCCGCUGCCGGCGAACGACCUGCUCUGGGAGCUCGCGCUGCCGCUGGGCGCCGACCGGGACCACGAGUACUGCAACCCGGAGGCCAUGCUGGCCGGCGUCGGGGUGGAGCGGCUGCGGAGGCUGCCGCCGUGCCUGGUGCUCGGCCGUAAGAAGGACCCGCCGAGGGACCGGCAGAGGGUGCUGGUGCAUGCGCUGCGGAAGGCCGGGGUGGCCGUGGAGGCGCAGAUGGACGGCGCCGGGUACCACGCGAUGGAGCUGUUCAAGGAUAACUGCGCCGCGGAGUUCAAGGCGCAGGUGACGGACUUCGUCCGCCGCCACGCCGACGACGGCGUCGACGUAUACGCAGCGAGGAGCAGGCUGUGAUCGGUGGAUCCAAAAGCGGAGGUUGUUACAACGGCGCUGUCUCAUCUAGUACAAUUUUUAAACGACUAAUAUAUCAAUCAUAUCUUCUUCACCAUGCUAUGAUUGAUCGACUUGGACUGACGGGCUGAGGCUCGGAGUCUACUCCUACGCCGGCAAGUACAAUCAGUAGAGUGUCGAGCUACUGGAUUGCAGUAUUAUCCCCACUUUUUGAAUGGAUUUUUGUCACGUUUGUUUUUACCCUUUUUGCGUUAUUUAUUACUCCUUCCGUAAACUAAUAUAAAAGCAUUUAAAUUACUAUUUUAGUGACCUAAACGCUUUUAUAUUUGUUUACAGAGGGAGUAAUUUUUACCAACUACCGGCGGCAACUUGAGAUCGCCACGUGCUUGUUACAAUUAGAAAGUUCGUGGAGAAAAAACUCUUAUCUUAUUUUCAUGGCUACCUCACCCCUUCCCUUCUAGUAAACUGUAAGGCAUGCUGCUUCUUUCUUUUGCUGAAAAAAAAUAUAUAAGGCAUGCUUGACUUUACACGGUCUCUCAUACACGACUUUGAUCAUUAAUAUAUACCAAAUCACAUAUGGAUUAAACAUGUAUAAAUGGUAUCAUCAUAUUUGUUUUGCAAAUUAAUUUUGUUUCAUAUGCCUUCAUACCAAUUUGUAGACAUACAAAUGAGUGAAAAAUAUAGUCAAAAUUGAACGAUAAAGAUCAAAAAAGUCAACCUCAUUUGAUAUUUUGCGAAGGAGGGAGUAUUGUGUAGACCUGCUAGUAGAAUUUGAAGCACGCGUGCUUUGCUCACCGUUUCUCGGUUGCGAGUGUUUUUACGGGCUAUUACAAUUAGAGAUCAGCACUUUUACAUCUAAAAGUGAAGAGUCAAACUGAACUGAGUUGAUCGAUAUUUCGGAUUUAUUAGGUUAUGACGUUCGAUGGUGUCUUCAUCUCUAAUUGUUUUUUUCGGGUGUACCAUCACGCUUUUUAUCCUGCAUAAAUCGGAUUGACUAUUAGAUCAUAUACAUCAAAAUGAAUCUUGCUUGUCUCUAACUUUUCUACUUUGUUCGCAGGUGUAGGUAUGAUCCUAGACCCAUGUACGAUGCAUGUCUCACACAACCAAGUUCACUCAUGCCUCUCCUUCUCAGCAUCACUCUUCUUGCACUCGUUUUCUUCUAAAAAACAACUCCAAUCCCUUAACUUACUCGCCUCACAACCGUCAGUACUAGGGAGAACUCUAUAGGCAGCCACUUAAUAGUAGGUGGGGUAAGUGGGCCGCGCUACUGCUAUUCAGUAGUAGCGCGGGAUAAAAUACUACGCUACAGGUACAAAGUAGUAGUAGCGGGUACGCUAACACCGCGCUACUACUAAGUGGUCCCCACCAUGCCCCCGGGGCAGGCCAUAGUAGCAGCGCGGGGUAUAUAACCCGCGCUACAACUAACAAGAUAGCAGUAGCGCGAGCUAUAUACCCCGCACUACUACUGUGGAUACGCGGGGCCAUCUAGUGGGCUCCACUUAACAGCAGCGCGCCCUGUAGCUCCAUGCUACAGCUAAUGGGCUUAGCAGUAGCGCGGGCCCCGUGCCCCGCGCUACUACUUAGCGACCCAUAUCCUCUCCCUGUCGUUUGUUUCUCACUCCCUCCCCUCCCUCUUUCUCCCUCUCUCGUCGUUGCUCUGGCUCCUCCUCCCUCCCUCCUCCCCUUCCUCCACUCUGCAUGAGGAAUACUAUGUGCUAGUUUGAAAUUUCAUGAAGUGUCCACAGGGGAGAAACAUUUUGGUAUUUGUCAUCGAUUUUUAAUCUUUCAAUUAUGAACACAACAAAUGGAUGACGACGAUAGGAUCCCCGAGUGUGAUGAUUGUACCGACGAUGGGGGUAUCUGCAACAAUCCUCACUUGAAAAAUGAUAUGUGCUUCUCCCUCAUGUUUAAAGAUGGCUUUGAAUAUUAUAUAAUAGGUAACUUCAGCGGUACAUAUUUCUUUUUCUUCUUUAACAUGUAGUUUUUCCGCUUUUUAUAAUCCGACUAGUGCAUCCCCUGUUAUGCAAGACAUUAUGUACUAGAGAAGCUCUCUUUCGAUGACAUGGAUAAGCCAGAUAAGAGGAAUGCUUACCAUAAGACGAAACAUGGUUUCAUUUUUGCUAUGAUCUAUAAUCAAGCAAGUCACACAUAUUGUGAUUGUGCAAAUUGGAGAGAAUUAUGCAAGGUUUGCGGAUUUGAGGAGGGUAUGAGAAUAACCUUCGAUAUUGGCGUUCCUCAAUAUGAUCCAAUCACUGGUCCUCAACAUGAUAAAGACAUUUGGGUGGAUCUGGACAUAAUUCUAGUUCUAUCUCCAUCUUAUUUUCUAUCUUCAAGAAAUACACGGAAGAUAGUAGACGAGACCUAUUACACUACUGGCUCAGAGCUAACUUGAGAGGAGAAGAAUUAUCUUGUCUCCUUUGUUAAUGAUGUUCUGUCGUAAAAGCAUUUUUGGACCUGGCCGAACUACUAUAGGAUACGUGCCACUAGUGCACAAGUUGAGUGAUGCUAACAUUCAUAGAAAUAUCAUGCUCUCAAAUGUUGUUGUGCCUGCGCUGAUGGAUGUUGAAGGUCGGAUGAUAAUUAUUAGCCCUUUGAAGGUCAGCUUCAAAUAUAGAUACUCGACUGAAUGCCAACCAGAUGGAUGCCUCAAAAUUGAAGGAUGGAGACAAAUAGUGAAUGAGUGUAGGCCACAAUCGGAGACCGAUAGAUCUCUGUGCUCCAUCAUGGAGAUUGAGGGAUUUUUCUGUUUUAUUCUAUUAUCCCUAAGAGAGAGGAGUAGGUCCUAGUACUUGUCACGAUCUAGGGUAAUGACUACUAUGUGUCCGGAAGUUAUUUACCUAGAUGAUAACAAUUAGCUAGUGGUUAACUUAUGAUGAUGAUGAUGAUGAUGAUGAGACAUUGUUGUAUCAAUGAUGUAUGUAUACAUUGG